UGGAGAAAGUCCUGGUAGGUUAUACCCAGGAUACAGGUAUACCUACACAUGUGGGGACACAGGUGUAGUUUUUAUUUUUGAUUUCUAGAAAAAGGAAACGAACCACGCGAGGUAAUAUAAAGUCAAAAGAAGCUUAAGUAUAAGUAGUGUUCGAUAACGGUAAAAAGCGCGAUAAAAUAGUUCGAAGUAUAAAUUGUGUGACGUUGAACGAAAGUGGAUAUUGUGCAACGAGAACUAAAAGUGUUAGAGAAAAAAAUUGUGCACGCGAAACAGGAAAAAAAACAGCAAAAAAAUUGUGAGGAAGAACAUUGGUUACGAACUUUUAUAGUGUUAAAAACAAAUUUGGUUCGCGCUUGAAAGAAAAAAAUGUAAAAGUGGUUUAUAGUGAUAAAGAAGCAACACAAAACAAGAGGAAGAAAAAUAAUAUGAUCAAGUAAACAAUUGUACAAUAAUAAUACGAGUAAAGACGAAGUGAAAAAUUAUUAAAAAUUGACAAGAACACAAGUGCGGAGCUGUUGUUGUGUAUGAUAAGGAUUUUCUUUACCAGUGUGUAAAAAGUGUAAAAAAGUGUUGGAAGAAACCUAACAUUACGCGAACUCGAUUUAUUUGUUUUUUUUUUCAGACGAAUCUGUCGCAACAGGAAGAUAAAUUUUAACCGAUCAGUAUUGGAAACGUGGUGCUAAAGGCGCAUCGCGAGCAAUUGAAGGUCCCAAAAACAACUAGUGUGAGGCAUAAUUUGACUGUUCCGUGCAGGAGGACCUGCAAGCGUGAAAGAUCCACUUCAGGUUGCGAGUUCUUUGGUUUCUCUGACGAAGUAUUAGAGAACGACCUUAAGAGAUUGCGGAUGGAUGAUGGUACUAAUAGCGCAGCAGGAUCAUCGGCUCCGAGACGGUCAGAAAGAAUUAAGUACAGAAGAGAGAACAUGAAGGUAAAACAAAAACAAAAAUGAAAAUUAAAAAGCUAAACUGAAUGAUUUUGGUGAUGUGUGUCAAAGGACACAAAUGAAAGAAAAAAAUUAAAUUAAUUGUUAAUGAAAAGAUAUAGGUGUCAACGGGCACUAUCUGAAAAUAAAAUAAAUUAGUUAGAAAAAGAUAUCGGUGUCAAUGGACGCUAUCUGAAAAAUAAUAAUUAAAAUAAUUAAACAAUUAUAUCUAUAAGCAUAUUUUACAAAAAAAUAUUGUAUUAUAAAUAAGAGUGUCAAUGGACACAUUCUGAAAAUUAGAAUUGUAUAUUGUGUCAAUGGACACAUUUUGGAAAUGGAACAAAUUUUACAAAUUAGAACGUUAAAGAACGCAAUUCAAAUUAAAUACACAAAAUUAUAUUAAUUAUAUUUUUUUUAAUUAUUUGCAUUGUAAAUGUAUUCAAAAUCUAAGAGAGGAAGAAUUGUGGUGUACGGAAAAAGACCAAGUCAAAGGCUAAGGCCGAUCAGAAUUUUGAAUAUGUAAAGCGUACAGCGUGUUUACCAACACGCGCGAAAGCGAUGCAAAUAAAUACCGCUGAGCUGGGCUCGAGCGGCAGAAGAUUCUUGA